rnacentral:tRNA from 1 species
GAGGGUAUAGCUCAAGUGGUAGAGCGCAUGCCUAGCAUGCCGGAGGUCCUGGGUUCAAUCCCUGGUACCUCCA